AACCAUCCCAUGUUCACUGGGCUUGGAUGGCCUGGUGAGAUGGGAUGGCACUCACCAUCUCAUUUUGUUCUCUUCAUUUCAGAAGCCAACAGGUGCAACAUGAGUGAUGCUGAUCGCUCAUCUCCUGGGAAUAUGCUAAUUGAAAUGACAGGGCAAUUGGAGAAGGAAGAAGGUAGAUGAAGAGGCAAUUCCACUUCUCCCCUCUCCUUUGUGGUUCUGAUGCCCUGGGCAACAUCAUCACAAUGCCUGCCUGCCUAUAAUACUACCUUGUCUGCCUGCAAAGCUAAACUGAACCCGGUGCAGAGCACUUUUCCCUUUCCCUGCCUGAUCGCAAAUGGAGGCUGCAGUGUGGCGUUUGAGAAUGGAGCAAUGGCCAUGGAUCCACCUCCCCCCCUUCCUUCAGACCUGAUUGGCUGAGAGGUUUGGAAAAUGCAUCUGCCUGUGACUCUGGAAUCUCAUUCAACUCACCUACAUGGCCAUCUGUAUCAUUGUUGCUUUGGAACGGUUCUUGUAUCUGUGAAAUAUUUCCAUGCUCAGUUUCAAAAACAUGGUAGUGGCAAGAGCAAGAAUGAGCCAAACACUGGCUGAAUUAUCACCUCUAUCCCCCUGUUGUUUGUGGCUGUGGCUACAUCCACAGAGACUCAGAGACCUCUUGGCCAUUAGUAGAAAAAUUUGGAAGAGGGAAAGAAGAGAGCUUUAAAAGGGGGGAUUCUCCUUGAGGCUGGAAUGAAGGUUCACACUCCUAAAAAACCUUUGAGAUUUGGGAGGGAGUGCCCUCAAGAUGGCCUUCCAGUUAAGAUCAGCUGAGCUGUGUGGUCAAAGAAUUUUGGGUGGCCCUCAGGAUCAACUAAGUAUGUCCUUGGAUGCGAUCAGAGGGACAGUUCUCACUACGUUAUAUACUCAAGAGUUAUUUCCUUACAGGUUAAUUCCCCUUAAUUGUGUUUUUGUUUAAAGGUUCUUGCAGAAAUUUUAGAAAAUAAAUAAAUAGGCCAGGAAAUGGGACUUUAGAUCAAUUUUCUUGUGUCAGGUUUUUUGAUUUUAUGGUGGGAAUUCAAUGCUAACACCUUAAUUACCCUCUUGAUUUGAUAUAUCUUCACAUUUGGAAAGUAGUCUCUCAGCUUCUUUAUUAAAAUGAUUUGUAAUAAUAUUGAACUCAGGCCCAGAACAGAAUCCUAUACCAGUAUCCUCUGCAAGAUGAGGAAAUUUGGUUUUUUUCUUCCAGAAAUCCCUUUUUCCUUCCUUCCUUCCUUCCUUCCUUCCUUCCUUCCUUCCUUCCUUCCUUCCUUCCUUCCUUCCUUCCUUCCUUCCUUCCUUCCUUCCUUUUUCCCUUCUCAAGCUUGCAUUCUUUUGGAUGAUACCCAAGAUUGCUCACAAAAAGAAUAAACUAGAUUUUAAACAUAAUUAAAAUCAUGUUAAAACAUGUCUACAUGAUGUCCAAGGACUUUUGAUCUUUAAUGCAGAGCAAAUCAAGUUAACUGGUUUAGCUCCAUGAUAAAAAAUGUCAGGGAACAUUCUGAAACCUUGGGCAGAAUGUGGACAGUAGACUAGUUUUGAUCAAACCCGGUCUGGCACACUGCCAUUCCUUUUUCCCUGCACUUGUCAGCACAGAGAAAGCGGGAUGGUUUGGGUGUGUAUCAACUUUGUUAUGGCUGCAGAUGGCUCCAGGAGAGCUUCUGGGCACUGUAGACACCCUGUGCUGACAUCAGCAAAGGGAGAAGAGGAAUCUAGCUAGGUUCCAGGUUUAGUCUGGUUGGAUUACAUAGACUCUACCCUGUCAUUGUCAUAGGUUAGGGAAAGAGCACCUUUGUGGCCUCCAGAGCCAGUUUGGUUCAUUUUAGCUUUGGAUUGGCUCCAACAAAAUUGGCCAAUGUAGACAGGAGCUUGUAUGUGUUCUCCAUGAACUUCGCUGAAAUCCAAAAUGACUCUCAGACUAAAAGACAUUCCUCAUUCAUGAGGUAUAGGGUACACAUUUGGCCUGGCUAAACUGUGUAGACUUCACCUCACCACUGCCAUGGGUUCAGGACAGUUCUAAAAACAGGAUAAGUUACUCUUAAAUUCAGGAACUGCAUUUCCUAACUACAGAUGCAGUCUAUUUAUUUACAAAUAAAUUAAGCACCAAAGACAAGGGCAAGAAACUUAACAUUUCAAAAUUAAAGCCGAGUUUUUUUGGAAUUCAGACAUCAGAUCAGACACUGAUUCCUCCAAAACAUUUUAAAUUUCAUAGUGCUUUAUGUUCUUUUAAUUUGUUCUUCAAAGCCUGGUUUUACAGUGCCAAAUAUGUAAUUUGAAGUAUAUUGUAUCAGUGUAGAACCAUAUAAUGCAGUCCAAUGUAGUUAUGUGGUUCUACACUGACCAUAUAAUGUAAUUCAGAAGAUAAAAUUUGAGUCAAAAUCAGAUACUCAAAACUUAAUAAUUUUGUUGGAUUGCAUGACAACAACAUGUGGGAGCUUACUGUUCAGAUGGGCUUAUCAAAAACAGGCAGAUCAUUUCCUAUGACAUUUCUUCUAUCAGUAUCCACUUUUAGCUAAGUGCACACAGAGACUGUCCCAGCAUUCUGAAACUUCAAAAACAUGGCACUUUCCAUUUUAGUUACCAGCAGAGCGUCAGAUGUAUUUCAAAUUUUCUUUGAAUCAAUUGACCUUUCCCAGUGGGAGACAACUGUGGGAAGGUGGGGAGUUGAACUUUCUUUUACUCUUUGUGCUUCACUCAGCUGUGUUUCUGAUUCUUAUAGCAGACAUUUUCUUUCUUUUAUUACUACUUCCUUUUUUAUUCAGAUCUUUUGUGCUUAUUAUACAGCAAACUCCACAGUGAAAAAUCCACUGAAGAUGUAUUUUAAUAUAUUGUUCAAAGCUCAUAAGUUCCACUCUAAAACUAGUCCUUACCUAGACAGCCGACAUAUUUAGAAGUACCUUAUUUAAAUGGUAAUAACCAUAUUAUGGAGGUCUACUUUUACUGUGAAAACAAACCCACCUUAUAGAUAAGUCUGCCAGAUAUUGAAAGCUACAUUCUUCUUACAUAAUAAAAUUUGAUAGAAGACUAUGACUACUACAACUGAAAGAUGCUCCCAUAGUCUCAUCUUUGGGUUAUUCUGCAAUUUCCAAAUAUUAUUGUGUCAGGAAAACUGAGGUCUACAAAACUAAGAGACUGCCUCUGUGGCAACAGCCAGCCAGGGUUCCAAAAAAUUGUUGAAUUUGCAAAGAGGAGGACUGACUAAUACUUUUAGUAUGUAAAUCUCUGUGCUAGGCUGGGAAGAAAUCCCUAAAUAGGAGUUCUAUUGGUUAAUAUGAGAGACAUUCAAUGAAAUAGCUGUUGUGGCUUUUUUAAAUUGAAAAAUGUAUUUGUCAAAAAUUUGAAAACUUUCCUAAAAUCAGUAUAUGUAUGGAUAUAUCUGAAAUU